GACGAACGCUGGCGGCGUGCUUAACACAUGCAAGUCGAACGGAAAGGCCCUGCUUUUGUGGGGUGCUCGAGUGGCGAACGGGUGAGUAACACGUGAGUAACCUGCCCUUGACUUUGGGAUAACUUCAGGAAACUGGGGCUAAUACCGGAUAGGAGCUCCUGCUGCAUGGUGGGGGUUGGAAAGUUUCGGCGGUUGGGGAUGGACUCGCGGCUUAUCAGCUUGUUGGUGGGGUAGUGGCUUACCAAGGCUUUGACGGGUAGCCGGCCUGAGAGGGUGACCGGGAGCAUGGGGAGUGAAAGAGGGUCCAGGGUCAUACGCGAGGUAGCCGGGCGGAACGUGGCAGAUUGCGGGCGUCCCUGAUGCCGCAACGUUGCGGGGGGGAGGAGGGCAAGCGAGUUGUAGGCAUAUUCAGCCACGGACGAAGCGUGAGUCAGCAGACGGGGUAUAGAAGCACAGCCACAUCCGAGC
rnacentral:rRNA from 1 species